AUUGAACGCUGGCGGCAUGCCUUACACAUGCAAGUCGAACGGUAACAGGUCUUCGGACGCUGACGAGUGGCGAACGGGUGAGUAAUACAUCGGAACGUGCCCGAGAGGGGGGGAUAACGAGGCGAAAGCUUUGCUAAUACCGCGUACGAUCUCAGGAUGAAAGCAGGGGACCGCAAGGCCUUGCGCUCACGGAGCGGCCGAUGGCAGAUUAGGUAGUUGGUGGGAUAAAAGCUUACCAAGCCGACGAUCUGUAGCUGGUCUGAGAGGACGACCAGCCACACUGGGACUGAGACACGGCCCAGACUCCUACGGGAGGCAGCAGUGGGGAAUUUUGGACAAUGGGCGCAAGCCUGAUCCAGCCAUGCCGCGUGCAGGAUGAAGGCCUUCGGGUUGUAAACUGCUUUUGUACGGAACGAAAAGACUCUGGUUAAUACCUGGGGUCCAUGACGGUACCGUAAGAAUAAGCACCGGCUAACUACGUGCCAGCAGCCGCGGUAAGAC
rnacentral:rRNA from 1 species